AUGAGGCCCAGGACGCUGGCGUUGCUCCUGUUGUUUGAUCUAACCCCAACUGACAGUCCUGUCAGCCUCUCUGCUCUCCUUCAUAGCUCAGUGUCCCUUAACAUCUCCAAAGAUGAAGCUUACUGGGGUCUGGUGUCUCCUCGCGGAGCCCAGCGCAGGAGCUCAGGGCACUCUAGCCUCGGGAGGAACCCAGGCCCGUGGCCCCACUAAGGUGCCUAGCUGAUUGUGACACGGGGUUCGAUAGCAAAGGGGCACCAGGCAGGUUUGAAAGGAGAAGGCCUCCGCCCUCAGGAGAAGCUAAAACAAACAAACAGCUCCCCCCAAAAUUAAAAAGCAAGGUUCCAAUCAG
rnacentral:lncRNA from 1 species